ACACAUGCAAGUCGAGGGGCAGCGGGAUUGAAGCUUGCUUCAAUUGCCGGCGACCGGCGCACGGGUGAGUAACGCGUAUCCAACCUUCCGUACACUCAGGGAUAGCCUUUCGAAAGAAAGAUUAAUACCUGAUGGUAUGAUGAGAUUGCAUGAUAGCAUCAUUAAAGAUUCAUCGGUGUACGAUGGGGAUGCGUUCCAUUAGGUAGUAGGCGGGGUAACGGCCCACCUAGCCUACGAUGGAUAGGGGUUCUGAGAGGAAGGUCCCCCACAUUGGAACUGAGACACGGUCCAAACUCCUACGGGAGGCAGCAGUGAGGAAUAUUGGUCAAUGGACGAGAGUCUGAACCAGCCAAGUAGCGUGAAGGAUGAAGGUCCUACGGAUUGUAAACUUCUUUUAUAAGGGAAUAAAACCUCCCACGUGUGGGAGCUUGUAUGUACCUUAUGAAUAAGCAUCGGCUAACUCCGUGCCAGCAGCCGCGGUAAUACGGAGGAUGCGAGCGUUAUCCGGAUUUAUUGGGUUUAAAGGGAGCGCAGACGGGUCGUUAAGUCAGCUGUGAAAGUUUGGGGCUCAACCUUAAAAUUGCAGUUGAUACUGGCGUCCUUGAGUGCGGUUGAGGUGUGCGGAAUUCGUGGUGUAGCGGUGAAAUGCUUAGAUAUCACGAAGAACUCCGAUUGCGAAGGCAGCACACUAAGCCGUAACUGACGUUCAUGCUCGAAAGUGUGGGUAUCAAACAGGAUUA
rnacentral:rRNA from 1 species